rnacentral:rRNA from 1 species
GACGAACGCUGGCGGCGUGCUUAACACAUGCAAGUCGAACGCGUGUAGCAAUACACGAGUGGCGCACGGGUGAGUAACGCGUGGAUAUCUGCCUUUUGGUUCGGAAUAACCCCGGGAACUGGGGCUAAUACCGGAUGGUUCCUUCGGGAUAAAGAUUUAUCGCCAAAAGAUGAGUCCGCGUACGAUUAGCUAGUUGGUGAGGUAAUGGCUCACCAAGGCGACGAUCGUUAGCUGGUCNGAGAGGACGAUCAGCCACACUGGGACUGAGACACGGCCCAGACUCCUACGGGAGGCAGCAGUGGGGAAUAUUGGACAAUGGGGGCAACCCUGAUCCAGCCAUGCCGCGUGAGUGAUGAAGGCCUUCGGUUGUAAAG